AUAUAGUUAUUGUUAUAGUUAUCGUUAGAAUGAAUGGACCUUGCAUUACUUUUGGAGUCACUGUUGUGUUAUUAUUUCCAGACCAAUAUCAAAAAUAAUGCCCAAAAUUCAUAAAAUAAAGUCUUUUAAAAACACAUGUGCGCAUGAUUCAUGGUAUUUUUUUUUAUUUUUUUUUGCACUGAAUGCAUCACAUUGCAGAAGUAAAAUAGCAUGCAGAUGCCAUUUCAUGACACAGUUUUCACACUGUGUAGUUUUGCGUUUAACUGAUGAUCUUUAUAUGCGCAGGAACUCUGAAACAAUUCCGUAUUUUUGGUCGAACUGGAACAUUCCUGUUCACAAGUGGUGCCUACGACACUUUUAUAAGCCAAUGCUGGUGAAAGGAGUAAAUAAGUUAGCAGCUCAGAUCGCAGUAUUCUUCAUGUCGGCGUUUUUCCAUGAGUAUUUAGUGAGUGUUCCUCUAAAGAUGUUUCGCCUCUGGGCAUUUCUGGGAAUGAUGGCACAGAUCCCACUCGCCUAUUUUGUGGGCCGAUUCUUGAGGGGAAACUAUGGCAACGCCGCCGUCUGGAUGUCGCUGAUUAUCGGCCAGCC